AAGUCUGUGGAGACCAUAAGCUUGAGGGUAGCAGCAAAGGACCGGAGUCUGCAGUUCACAGGGAGAAAGUACUGGAAGAAGAGGGACAGAGAAAACCUACACCUGAAAGAAUCAGGCCAGAAAAGAAGACGACCAUUCACUUGCAACAUAGUAUCUCCAGGCCCCAUACCAGCGUGAAGACCAUGGAACAUGCUGCAAAUCUUGGCUGGACUGUCCUACCAUAUCCACUGUUUGGUCCAGAUUUGGCACAUUCUGAAUUCUGUUUGGGCUGUGGGGGCAACAUUUUCCUAGUAACAUCAUCAUCAUAGUAGUGUGAUGUGAAACUGUGGGUUACCCACUGAUGCAGAUGAUUAUAAGUGCAGCAUGCAGGCUUUUGUUCAUCACUCAUGAAAAUACAUUGCUGAUGGUGGUGACUGUAUUGAAAAAUAGUGCUUUGUAGCAGAGAAUUUGCUCUGUCAAAUACUAUUAUUGUACUCUUUGUAGUUUCCUUAGAAAUAAAAUAGGAGGAUUUACUUUUGGAGCAGCCUAUAUAGAAAUAGAAUCAAGCUCAAAGCUUUAUUAAUAUUAUUAUUAUUAUUUAUUUUUCUUAUGAACAUCCAUUAUAUGGAUUACAUCUAAUACCACAGUCACAUAUUCAGAGAAAAACACAUUUCAAGCAUAUUUGGACUAAAUUUCUGGUCCUACUUUAGCAUACGAUAUUCAGCAGAGCAGUUUUUAUCAAAUUUGCAGGAUUUACCUCCUAUUUUAUUUUAUUUGACAAAUAACAUAAAGCAAUUUUUCUAAACAUAUAGGGGAGAUGAAGGGGAAAAAAACACACUUUUACAUAAAAUCAUGUGUUUUGUUCAUUCCUCUGUAAUCUGUUCAGGUACACUGGAUUUUGAAGUCCUGCAAAAAUGUUGUUAAUGGAAGUCUGAUGUGCUUUGUGGAAUUAGACACACCUGGUUUCUGAGCUCAUACAUAGUACAGUGACAUGUGGUAUGAAUGUGUUGAACAGAACCAUAGGAACAUAACUAUAAAAUCAGAGGAGAGCUGCCUAUACCUCUUGUCUCCCUUCUGUUAGUGAAGAAUUUUUCUGAU
ensembl:lncRNA